CCUACGGGAGACAGCAGUGGGGAAUAUUGGGCAAUGGGCGCAAGCCUGACCCAGCAACGCCGCGUGAAGGAAGAAGGCUUUCGGGUUGUAAACUUCUUUUCUCAGGGACGAAGCAAGUGACGGUACCUGAGGAAUAAGCCACGGCUAACUACGUGCCAGCAGCCGCGGUAAUACGUAGGUGGCAAGCGUUAUCCGGAUUUACUGGGUGUAAAGGGCGUGUAGGCGGGAAAGCAAGUCAGAUGUGAAAACCAUGGGCUCAACCUGUGGCCUGCAUUUGAAACUGUUUUUCUUGAGUACUGGAGGGGCAGACGGAAUUCGUGGUGUGGCGGUGAAAUGGGUAGAUAUUAGGGGGAA
rnacentral:rRNA from 1 species